rnacentral:rRNA from 1 species
UACAGAGGUCUCAAGCGUUUGUUCGGAUUCAUUGGGCGUAAAGGGUGCGUAGGUGGCGCGGUAAGUCGGGUGUGAAAUUUCGGAGCUUAACUCCGAAACUGCAUUCGAUACUGCCGUGCUUGAGGACUGGAGAGGAGACUGGAAUUUACGGUGUAGCGGUGAAAUGCGUAGAUAUCGUAAGGAAGACCAGUGGCGAAGGCGGGUCUCUGGACAGUUCCUGACGCUGAGGCACGAAGGCCCAGGGGGAGCAAAACGGG